rnacentral:piRNA from 1 species
UAGCAGAGGUCCAUACACGGGUAUUGC